ensembl:lncRNA
UUGGUCUUUGUAACAGUUAAUAUUCUCGGUAGGGUGUUGCAAGUUCUGCAUUUGCACACUUGACCUGAAAUAGAAGUGGCUGUCACAGAAUUAUGGAGGGAGUUACACUCGCGUGGCUACGGUGGUAAUAAUAACUUUGCUGUAGUUAUAUUGAUCUAUUUCCACAUCCAGAAAACGGCUUAAUGUGCUCUUACACCUCUGCUUUGCCUUCAGUACAGCGUUCUUAACUCCCUGCCUGCGUGCAGGGGGUGGCUUUGGGUGACAGCCAUGCUCUGAGGAUGCUCAGCUGAGGACGGUGCCAGCACAGUGCUGAGCCCUCUUUGCACAGCGACUGCAGACAGCAGAGGGCUGUGCUGGAGGCACAGCUGAGAGGUGUGAGACCCACAGCAGCUCUUGGGGGCAGCUCCCCAACUUGGGGCUGCUUGGCAAAUGGCUGCAGAGCAGCAGCAGAGGGAAUUGGGAGCGAGCCCUGAUAGGAAAUGGGGAAGCCGUAAGCAAGCAUUGUGCAGGUGGGCUUGGAAGCAGCAGUGCCAGCCUUCUCCUUUCAGUUGUGUUCGGGAAAGUUGGAUCUUAGAAUCACAGCAUCAUCAGGACUGGAAAAGACCUCUAAGAUGACCAAACCCACCCCACAGUGCCCACCGACUGCCCCCGGGUGCCACUCCUCCACUGUUCUUCAUCGUGGCGAUGGAGUUUUUGGUAGGCAAGUGGAGUUGUGCUAAAGAAUGCGUCUAAUUUAUGUAAUCCGUGUUCUGUUAAUGAAGCCGAGUGUUUUAAGGACUUGCUAAUUACACAGGUUAAAAAAGGAGGUAACUUAGGGUCACGAGUGAAAUUAAGAAGCGAAGGAAAGAAGAAAAAGCCUGAGCUGCCUGUGCUGAAAAUGGAACAGAGCACAGGCAUAACAUCUAGAAACCAGAUUUGCCGAAAGAAAAGCUUGAAAUAAGAGCUGGCACUUCCCUGGGUGUUGUGGGACGUGACGCAGUGACUUCCCAAAAGGGCUGAGAGCGCAGCGUGGGCAAAAGUGACAGCGUUUGGAGCUGCUGUUGCAGUUGCUGGGGUGACUUCGGGAGCCCAUGCACAGCAUUCCUUAUGGAGCUUCGGGAUGGCAUCGGUUCAGGCUGCACAGCCACAAAGGAUGGGGAGGACCUCAGAGAGCACCAACCCACCCCACUGUGUCCCCACGGGCCACAUCUGCACUGUUCUUGGCCGCCUCUGGGAGUUUUUGGGGGAGCUUUUUUAUGCCUAUCUGGAAAUAGGAGAAGCGGGGAAUGGAGAGGUUGCACCGUUCCCUUGCAAGUAAUGGAAAAGCCACUAUUUUUAGUGGUUGGAUGGGGGUGAUUCAGCUCACUGAACGAAAUAUUCGGGGAUGUGGGAGGAGGAGACGUCUCGCAGUCAGAUCUGCUUUUGCCACAUCUGCCCUCUGCAGAGAGCUGCAGCAGCUGUGAGCUGCUCCCAUCCGACCUGCAGCCCUCAGCAGCUCACAGCAUGGGAUGGGGGGGUGCUGUGGGCACAGGGCAGGUGGGGCUGAGCGCAGACUGAUGGCGAAAUGGUGGUGGGAAGGAGCAGAGCAGAGUGCAGAAGCAGCAGCUCAGAGCUCAGCACCUCCGUGUCCAAAGGUAACCGAGAGGAGAGGAGCAAGCAAGGCUUGCACGAAGCAUUCCAGCAACUGGAGAACGUCCCUCUUAGCUGCCAACCGAACGGAAUGGAAAGAAGAAGGCGGUUCCUGACGGCUCUUAUCUCGGUGGAGAAACGAUGGAGAAGUUUAAGGGGAUCGUCGCAAGGAUGGGCUGAAAGUCCCUCCCCGUGGAUCAGAGCUCGGGAGCACAAGGGCAGAGCUGGGGGUGGUGGUUUGACCCGCAGGAGUUAAUGUUUAGUUGGAUGUGUGCAGGGCAAACAGGGAGGGGGGGUCCUGGGGUGGGGGUUUCUGGGCCAGGCACGGAGGGGUCUUGCAGUGGAAAUACAAUCCCGUAGGGCUGAACGGGGGGCGGGGUGAGAGAACGGUGUGGAAAAUGGCAAAAAUAAAGCUUGAGAAUGGGGCCUGCGGACUUUGAGCAGGAUGGGGUGGGUAUGGGAGGCAACGGGUGAGCCGAGAGCUGAUCUCCGUAGCCUUAGGGUCCCGAGGCAGACCUGGGUUAGCUCUCAGCCGGCUCCAUCCCACAGCUGCCCCUCCCCCAUCCCAUUAACCCCCCCCCACGCUCCGCGCUCGCUCCCAUCCCGCUUCCCGCCAGGAUGGGGGGAGUGGGCGUGGUCGCGGAACUAGAUGGGCGGGGCUUGGCCCGGUAGCCAC